rnacentral:rRNA from 1 species
UACGAAGGGGGCUAGCGUUGCUCGGAAUGACUGGGCGUAAAGGGCGCGUAGGCGGAUGGCACAGUCAGAUGUGAAAUUCCCGGGCUUAACCUGGGGGCUGCAUUUGAUACGUGUUGUCUUGAGUUCGGAAGAGGGCCGUGGAAUUCCCAGUGUAGAGGUGAAAUUCGUAGAUAUUGGGAAGAACACCGGUGGCGAAGGCGGCGACCUGGUCCGACACUGACGCUGAGGCGCGAAAGCGUGGGGAGCAAACAGG